AUUGAUUUUGGUCGCCAACGAGUGGCGGACGGGUGAGUAACACGUAGGUAACCUGCCCAGAAGCGGGGGACAACAUUUGGAAACAGAUGCUAAUACCGCAUAACAGCGUUGUUCGCAUGAACAACGCUUAAAAGAUGGCUUCUCGCUAUCACUUCUGGAUGGACCUGCGGUGCAUUAGCUUGUUGGUGGGGUAACGGCCUACCAAGGCGAUGAUGCAUAGCCGAGUUGAGAGACUGAUCGGCCACAAUGGGACUGAGACACGGCCCAUACUCCUACGGGAGGCAGCAGUAGGGAAUCUUCCACAAUGGGCGCAAGCCUGAUGGAGCAACACCGCGUGAGUGAAGAAGGGUUUCGGCUCGUAAAGCUCUGUUGUUAAAGAAGAACACGUAUGAGAGUAACUGUUCAUACGUUGACGGUAUUUAACCAGAAAGUCACGGCUAACUACGUGCCAGCAGCCGCGGUAAUACGUAGGUGGCAAGCGUUAUCCGGAUUUAUUGGGCGUAAAGAGAGUGCAGGCGGUUUUCUAAGUCUGAUGUGAAAGCCUUCGGCUUAACCGGAGAAGUGCAUCGGAAACUGGAUAACUUGAGUGCAGAAGAGGGUAGUGGAACUCC
rnacentral:rRNA from 2 species